rnacentral:tRNA from 1 species
CAGGGAGACAAAACUGAUUGUGAUGCCUGAAUUAUUUAUUUUUAGGUCACGAUCCUGUCACCUUAGGUCGAUCGGUAUCUCAGUUUGAAAAACUAAGAAAUUUAUUUGUUUAGUUUUUAUUGAAUUCAGUUCCUAAACUUUGUCUAGGUCACACCCAACAAGGGUACUCCUGGGCCAUUAGCUCAGGUGGUUAGAGCGCACCCCUGAUAAGGGUGAGGUCCCUGGUUCAAGUCCAGGAUGGCCCAUUCGGUGUUGGGGGUAUAGCUCAGUUGGUAGAGCGCCUGCUUUGCAAGCAGGAUGUCAGCGGUUCGAGUCCGCUUACCUCCACUGAUCGACCUCCUGAUAACGAAGCUUGAGGAGAGUUUUGUUGGAAGUGAUCUACAAUUUCUUCUAAAUGAAUGAACCUAGCUUCUUGUCGUUCCAACUAAAUAAUUUUUAGCUUGGUUGAUAAGACGCUGGGCUCCCUGCAAUAAAAAUUGCAGAGUUCUUCAGUAGAACCUUGACAACUGCAUAGGUAAGUCUGGAAAAAAAUAAAGCAUCUCAUGGAUGCAUUAUUUUGAUAGAUAGCGUAAUUUCUAAUUUAUUUAGUCUUUCGUUAUUUUUAAAGAUAAUGUUUAAUUCUUGAGCAAGAGCCGAGACUCUAUAAUUUCCUUUUAUUGAACUAUUUUCAAUGAGAGUUAGAUAUUUAAUUCUUUCCUUUUUGGUGGAAUUAAAUUGAAAGUAUUUUAUAGAGAUUAAU